UUCUACUUGCUCUUCUGCCACCUCAAGGGUAGGGAGAUAGUGGGUUAUGAUUAUGUUGAAUCAUGAUGAUUAAAUUCACUGGUGGACUGUCCACACACACCUGUUUAGGGUGUUUCUCCUUUAGGACCGAGGCGCUACAACAGGCUGAAGAGGAAUACACCGAUGUGUGGUUUAAAUCAGGCGAACUCGCGCAGGUGUACAGUUUGGCCCUAUAAAGUUUUUGUAAAGUACUUAUUUUCCAAGGAGACAGUGCCAAUGAAGAACUUGAAAAAUAUGAGACGUGAUUUGUGAAUAAGCAGCGAAAAAUCAGAGUCUUACCACAGGAGGGCAGGAAUUCCUUGAGUAGUGGACAGACUGCGACACAGUCUGCAUGCAUAUUGAUAAUUCUGCAGCUAACACUGGCUCCGAUCUGCUGAGUCCACAGUCACCGCAGUAAACAGGUUUCUGUCUGUUGGAUGUGAGGGAUUGGUAAUGAGCUGGCGUUCUGUUAUUCCCUUACUUGACACCCCAGAGACCUCAGAGGAGAGAGGGACUGGGGCUGUUUGGGUGGAGAAGACUUCAAGCAGCUGGAUGAUGGAGCUCUUUCCUUAAGCAUUCCCUCUCUGAUGCCGUAUUUUUCUUUCAUAACGUUCCUCUUAAAAUCAUGCUUAACAGACUGCUGUUUUAUCCAAGUUA